AUCGAACGCUGGCGGCAGGCUUAAUACAUGCAAGUCGAGCGAGCGGCGGACGUGUGAGUAAUGUCUGUGAACCUGCCUGCUGGAGGGGGUUACCUACUGGAAACGGUAGCUAAUACCGCAUACCAUCAUAUGGGCCCAGAUCGGAUUGGUUAGUAGGUGUGGUAAUGGCUCACAUAGGCGACGAACCCUAGCUGGUCUGAGUGUAUGACCAGCCACACUGGAACUGAGACACGGGCCAGACUCCAAGGGAGGGCGGCAGUGGGAAAUAUUGCAAAGGGGGCGCAAGCCUGAUGCAGACAUGCCGCGUGUGUGAAGAGGGCCUUCGGGUUGUAAAGCACUUUCAGCGAGGAGGCGUUACUCGCAGAAGAAGGACCGGCUAACUACGUGCCAGCAGCCGCGGUAAUUC
rnacentral:rRNA from 1 species